rnacentral:rRNA from 1 species
UAUUGCACAAUGGGGGAAACCCUGAUGCAGCGACGCCGCGUGAGCGAUGAAGCCCUUCGGGGUGUAAAGCUCUUUCGGCAGGGACGAUUAUGACGGUACCUGCAGAAGCAGCUGCGGCUAACUACGUGCCAGCAGCCGCGGUAAUACGUAGGCAGCAAGCGUUGUUCGGAAUUACUGGGCGUAAAGGGUGCGUAGGCGGCUUUUUAAGUUUGUCGUGAAAUCUCCCGGCUCAACCGGGAGGGUGCGGCGAAUACUGAGAAGCUAGAGUGUGGGAGAGGAAAGUGGAAUUCCUGGUGUAGCGGUGAAAUGCGUAGAUAUCAGGAGGAACACCGGUGGUGUAAACGGCUUUCUGGACCAUAACUGACGCUGAGCACGAAA